rnacentral:snoRNA from 1 species
GCCGCCCCUAGAGGCAUUUCAGGCCUGGCUGCUGUGCCAGAUGUGCGUCAGUAGGUGGCAGAGAGGAGAACAGGCCAUGUCUGUGCUCCGUGUUCUGACCUGCGGACAUCUGAAUGAUCAGUAGCCUAACACU